rnacentral:rRNA from 1 species
CACGUAGGCACCAAGCGUUGUCCGGAUUUAUUGGGCGUAAAGAGCUCGUAGGCGGUUCAGUAAGUCGGGUGUGAAAACUCUGGGCUCAACCCAGAGAUGCCACCCGAUACUGCUGUGACUUGAGUACGGUAGGGGAGCAGGGAAUUCCUGGUGUAGCGGUGAAAUGCGCAGAUAUCAGGAAGAACACCGAUGGCGAAGGCAGCUCUCUGGGACGGUACUGACGCUGAGACGCGAAAGCGUGGGGAGCGAACAGG